rnacentral:rRNA from 1 species
UACGGAUGGGGCGAGCGUUGUUCGGAAUCAUUGGGCGUAAAGGGAGCGCAGGUGGUUCGCUAAGCGGGAUCUUUCAGCCCCCGGCUCAACCGGGGGAGCGGUCCCGGACUGGUGAACUCGAGUCCGUCAGAGGAUGCCGGAAUUCCGGGUGUAGGGGUGAAAUCUAUAGAUAUCCGGAGGAACACCGAUGGCGAAGGCAGGCAUCUGGGGCUGGACUGACACUCAUGCUCGAAAGCCAGGGGAGCAAACGGG